GGAAGUCCAAGAUUAAGAUCACUUCCAGCUCUGUUCCUGGGGUGGGCUUUCUUCCUGGUUUACAA
rnacentral:misc_RNA from 1 species